UAGCGAAAGCGAGUUUUAACUGAGCGUUCAGUUACUUGACGUAGACCCGAAACCGGGCGACCUACCCAUGAGCAGGAUGAAGCGAAAGUAAAAUGUCGUGGAGGUCCGAACCCACGAGCGUUGAAAAGCUCGGGGAUGACUUGUGGGUAGCGGUGAAAUUCCAAUCGAGCCCGGAGAUAGCUGGUUCUCCCCGAAAUAGCUUUAGGGCUAGCCUCAAGGUGAG
rnacentral:rRNA from 1 species